GACGAAUUCAAACUCGAUCAGUAACUUUUGAUAUUGAAAAACAUAAUUUUGGUUACAUUACAUCUAUUUAGUUAUUGGUUAAUGUGUGUCUGGAUUUGAAAAUUAGUCAGUAAUGUUUCCUUUCAUUUGAAUGCUUUUCAAACGGUAUGUCACAAAAAUUUAUACCGUUAUAAGUUCUGGCGUUUUCAAUGUAAACAUUACUAACUUUGAUGGUUGUUUUUUGUUUUUGUUUUAUUCUUUUGCUAAUGCUGUAAAUUUUCGCAGGAUAUAGCUUAAAAACGGAAAUCAAUAAAAAAAAAAACAACAUACGGACUAAUUGCUUCUAAUAUAAUAAAACCUACCGUUUCCCCUAUGUAUUAUUGGAAUAUCAUUCAGUUAAUUUCAACAGCUUGUAUCUAAAAUGUUAUAUGGUUACCCCUUAUUCUUUUUCAAUUUCCUGGUUAUUUUAAAAAGCAAUUUUCAAAUUGAAAAUUGAAAAAAA
rnacentral:lncRNA from 1 species